GUCUAUAGCCCCUCCACCUUGAACGUGCCCAAUCUCGGCUGAUCUUGGAAGCUAAGCAGGGUCAGGCCUUAGAUAGGAGAAAAUACAAGAAAAUGGAAAGACAUUCUGUGUUCAUAGAUU
rnacentral:rRNA from 1 species